UAACUGUGGUAAUUCUAGAGCUAAUACAUGCCGACGGGCGCUGACCCCCUUCGCGGGGGGGAUGCGUGCAUUUAUCAGAUCAAAACCAACCCGGUCAGCCCCUCUCCGGCCCCGGCCGGGGGGCGGGCGCCGGCGGCUUUGGUGACUCUAGAUAACCUCGGGCCGAUCGCACGCCCCCCGUGGCGGCGACGACCCAUUCGAACGUCUGCCCUAUCAACUUUCGAUGGUAGUCGCCGUGCCUACCAUGGUGACCACGGGUGACGGGGAAUCAGGGUUCGAUUCCGGAGAGGGAGCCUGAGAAACGGCUACCACAUCCAAGGAAGGCAGCAGGCGCGCAAAUUACCCACUCCCGACCCGGGGAGGUAGUGACGAAAAAUAACGAUACGGGACUCUUUCGAGGCCCUGUGAUUGGAAUGAGUCCGCUUUAAAUCCUUUAACGAGGGUCCGUUGGGAGGGCGGAGUCUGGU
rnacentral:rRNA from 1 species